CGCGUAUGCGACCUGCCCGUUGCAGGGGGAUAAUCGGGAGAAAUCCCGUCUAAUACCGCGUAACGCCGCGGGGCUGCAUGGCCCUGCGGCCAAAGGAAGCGAUUCCGGCAACGGAUGGGCAUGCGUGACAUUAGCUAGUUGGCGGGGCAACGGCCCACCAAGGCGACGAUGUCUAGGGGUUCUGAGAGGAAGGUCCCCCACACUGGUACUGAGACACGGACCAGACUCCUACGGGAGGCAGCAGUGAGGAAUAUUGGUCAAUGGGCGCGAGCCUGAACCAGCCAAGUCGCGUGAGGGAUGACGGCCCUACGGGUUGUAAACCUCUUUUGUCGGGGAGCAAAUUCCGCCACGCGUGGCGGAGUCGAGAGUACCCGAAGAAAAAGCAUCGGCUAACUCCGUGCCAGCAGCCGCGGUAAUACGGAGGAUGCGAGCGUUAUCCGGAUUUAUUGGGUUUAAAGGGUGCGUAGGCGGACUGUCAAGUCAGCGGUAAAAUACGGGGGCUCAACCUCCGCCCGC
rnacentral:rRNA from 1 species